rnacentral:rRNA from 1 species
CAGUAGCCCGGGAAUACGUAGGGUGCAAGCGUUAAUCGGAAUUACUGGGCGUAAAGCGUGCGCAGGCGGUUUGUUAAGACAGAUGUGAAAUCCCCGGGCUCAACCUGGGAACUGCAUUUGUGACUGGCAAGCUAGAGUGUGGCAGAGGGGGGUGGAAUUCCGCGUGUAGCAGUGAAAUGCGUAGAUAUGCGGAGGAACACCGAUGGCGAAGGCAGCCCCCUGGGCCAACACUGACGCUCAUGCACGAAAGCGUGGGGAGCAAACAGGAUUAGAUACCCCGGUAGUCCCUGUCUCUUAUACC